GGAAUAUUGGACAAUGGGCGCAAGCCUGAUCCAGCCAUGCCGCGUGCAGGAUGACGGUCCUAUGGAUUGUAAACUGCUUUUAUACGAGAAGAAACACUACUUCGUGAAGUAGCUUGACGGUAUCGUAAGAAUAAGGAUCGGCUAACUCCGUGCCAGCAGCCGCGGUAAUACGGAGGAUCCAAGCGUUAUCCGGAAUCAUUGGGUUUAAAGGGUCCGUAGGCGGUUUAAUAAGUCAGUGGUGAAAGCCCAUCGCUCAACGGUGGAACGGCCAUUGAUACUGUUAGACUUGAAUUAUUAGGAAGUAACUAGAAUAUGUAGUGUAGCGGUGAAAUGCUUAGAGAUUACAUGGAAUACCAAUUGCGAAGGCAGGUUACUACUAAUUGAUUGACGCUGAUGGACGAAAGCGUGGGUAGCGAACAGGAUUAGAUACCCCUG
rnacentral:rRNA from 1 species